GGAGUCUCCUGUUCCCAGAGGAAAUAGCAAGGACCCCAGACAGGGGAGAAAGCUGAGUGGGGAAGAAGGCCCUGCCCUCCCCAAUGCCCGGCCCUGGCUGUGCAGCAGAGCUGGCCAUUCCAGCUGGGGAGGUGAGGAUUCCCCUGCGAGCUGAGCAGGAACAGCCCCUUGCCGUGAGUCAGGCCCCAGAGGCACGGAAUGCUCCCAGUGCCAAUGGCUCAGGGAGCCACGGCGGCUGCUGCUGGACCAGCGAGAAACCCAGAAGGAGCAUUGCAGGCACUGCAAGGACAGCUCACGGCUCUGCCUGCUCCCGCCGCUGCUGCUUCCUCUGCUCCCCCAGAGAGGCGUUUCCAGCAGCUCGGCGAUCUCGGGGCUGCGCCGUGCUCUCGGACUCUUCCUCACUCAGCAAACACGCAGCUCGCUCUCGCCAUGCACCUCGCCUCUCUCAUCCUCACCCUCUUCCUGGGACAGCUCCUGGGCACCACGGGGCAGAUCACAGUCACCCAGGAUGAUGGACAAGUCAUGGUGAAGCAGGGACACAUCUUCCAGACCACCUGCAAAUACCAGAUGACUGGUUUUACUUCCUUGCUCUGGUACCAGCUUCGGAAAGGCCAAGCCCCACAGCUGCUCUCCUAUCAAGCAGGCUCUGGCCCCAAGCACAGCGGCCGGAUCACCACACACCUCAACACCACGGGGAAAUACAGUGUCCUGAAGGUGGAGGAAGUGCAGCUCUCUGACACUGCCUUGUACCUCUGUGCUGUGACAGACACCCCGGGGCAGGGAGCGUCCCCGGCUCACAGAGCAGCAGCGUCCCAGGCUCAGAAGGAGCCCGAGUGCAGCUGA